rnacentral:rRNA from 1 species
AGUGAACGCUGGCGGUAGGCCUAACACAUGCAAGUCGAAUGGCAGCACAGUAAGAGCUUGCUCUUACGGGUGGCGAGUGGCGGACGGGUGAGGAAUACAUCGGAAUCUACUUUUUCGUGGGGGAUAACGUAGGGAAACUUACGCUAAUACCGCAUACGACCUACGGGUGAAAGCAGGGGAUCUUCGGACCUUGCGCGAUUGAAUGAGCCGAUGCCGGAUUAGCUAGUUGGCGGGGUAAAGGCCCACCAAGGCGACGAUCCGUAGCUGGUCUGAGAGGAUGAUCAGCCACACUGGAACUGAGACACGGUCCAGACUCCUACGGGAGGCAGCAGUGGGGAAUAUUGGACAAAGGGCGCAAGCCUGAUCCAGCCAUACCGCGUGGGUGAAGAAGGCCUUCGGGUUGUAAAGCCCUUUUGUUGGGAAAGAAAAGCAGCAGGUUAAUACCCCGCUGUUCUGACGGUACCCAAAGAAUAAGCACCGGCUAACUUCGUG